rnacentral:rRNA from 13 species
GCGACCCCAGGAUGGGCGGGAUGACCCG